rnacentral:rRNA from 1 species
GAUGAACGCUGGCGGCGUGCCUAAUACAUGCAAGUCGAGCGAAUGGAUUAAGAGCUUGCUCUUAUGAAGUUAGCGGCGGACGGGUGAGUAACACGUGGGUAACCUGCCCAUAAGACUGGGAUAACUCCGGGAAACCGGGGCUAAGACCGGAUAACAUUUUGAACGGCAUGGUUCGAAAUUGAAAGGAGGCUUCGGCUGUCACUUAUGGAUGGACCCGCGUCGCAUUAGCUAGUUGGUGAGGUAACGGCUCACCAAGGCAACGAUGCGUAGCCGACCUGAGAGGGUGAUCGGCCACACUGGGACUGAGACACGACCCAGACUCCUACGGGAGGCAGCAGUAGGGAAUCUUCCGCAAUGGACGAAAGUCUGACGGAGCAACGCCGCGUGAGUGAUGAAGGCUUUCGGGUCGUAAAACUCUGUUGUUAGGGAAGAACAAGUGCUAGUUGAAUAAGCUGGCACCUUGACGGUGCCUAACCAGAAAGCCACGGCUAACUACGUGCCAGCAGCCGCAGUAA